UUUGCGAUAAUAUUUGUCUUUUUUUUUUUUCUUCAAAAUUAUGUUAUUGAUGUAAGCAAUACAAACUCAGCAUACAAAGCCAUAAAGAUAUAGACAACAAACUUAAGCCUUGCCCAAUAACAUCAACAAGGAAAGCCUCUAAAACCCACAAAGAAAACCCAACCCCGGUGAAGUACAGAAGCCUUAAAGACCCAAAGAAAGAACUUGACCCGAAAGGCAAACCUGUUUAUCUCUAUGCAGCGCCCCUUUAGCCAUUGAAAACUGGUCACUGAAAAAUGCCAGCAGAGGG
rnacentral:lncRNA from 1 species